rnacentral:rRNA from 1 species
GACGAACGCUGGUGGCGUGCUUAACACAUGCAAGUCGAACGGAAAGGCCCUGCUUUUGUGGGGUGCUCGAGUGGCGAACGGGUGAGUAACACGUGAGUAACCUGCCCUUGACUUUGGGAUAACUUCAGGAAACUGGGGCUAAUACCGGAUAGGAGCUCCUGCUGCAUGGUGGGGGUUGGAAAGUUUCGGCGGUUGGGGAUGGACUCGCGGCUUAUCAGCUUGUUGGUGGGGUAGUGGCUUACCAAGGCUUUGACGGGUAGCCGGCCUGAGAGGGUGACCGGCAACAUUGGGACUGAGAUACGGACCAGAAUCCAACGGGAGGCAGCAGUGGGGAAUAGUGCACAAUGGGGGGAAGCCUGAUGCAGCAACGCCGCGUGCGGGAUAACGGCCUUCGGGUUGUAAACCGCUUUCGCCUGUGACGAAGCGUGAGUGACGGUAAUGGGUAAAGAAGCACCGGCUAACUACGUG